rnacentral:rRNA from 1 species
GAUGAACGCUGGCGGCGUGCCUAACACAUGCAAGUCGAGCGAAGCACUCUACUCGAUUUCUUCGGGAUGAAGGUUUAGUGACCGAGCGGCGGACGGGUGAGUAACGCGUGGGUAACCUGCCUCUCAGAGUGGAAUAACGUUUGGAAACGAACGCUAAUACCGCAUAACGUGAGAAGAGGGCAUCCUCUUUUGUCCAAAGAUUUAUCGCUGAGAGAUGGGCUCGCGGCCGAUUAGGUAGUUGGUGAGAUAACAGCCCACCAAGCCGACGAUCGGUAGCCGGACUGAGAGGUUGAUCGGCCACAUUGGGACUGAGACACGGCCCAG